UCCGGUUUGACACCGGCAGUCUCCUUAGAGUGCCCAACUAAAUGAUGGCAACUAAGGAUAAGGGUUGCGCUCGUUGCGGGACUUAACCCAACAUUUCACAACACGAGCUGACGACGGCCAUGCAGCACCUGUCACUUGGCUCCCGAGGGCACCCCGCUGUUUCCAGCAGGUUCCAUGGAUGUCAAGCCUGGGUAAGGUUCUACGCGUAGCGUCAUAUUAAACCACAUCAUCCUCUGCUUGUGCGGGUCCCCGUCAAUUCCUUUGAGUUUUAGCCUUGCGGCCGUACUUCCCAGGCGGCAUACUUAUCGCGUUAGCUGCGUCUCACAGGGGGUCGAUACCCCAUAAGACUAGUAUGCAUCGUUUACGGCGUGGACUAC
rnacentral:misc_RNA from 1 species